AAUGAUGAAUGUCAUAGAUUAGACGUUAGUUUAUUCUAUAAAUGAAAGUGUAAGCAUUCCACCUCAAGAGUAAUUUGGCAACAUUGGAACUGAAAUCAUUAGACCGUUUCUGAAACCAGUAGUGAAGUAUGUUGUUUAAUUUGAUAAUCCGCAAAAAACCUUACCACAAUUUGAAUAUUUAUAUUUUUUAUUUUCCAUAAACUUUUUUAUAAGAUAAAAAAGGGAGAAAAAAGAUGUUUUUACAAGCGUUGCACGGCUGUCUUCAGUUAAUGUCGUGAGAUUUUGGUUAGCUCCAUUAAAUUAACGUAAACCCUUGCUAUAUUUUUACAUAUAGUAGUUCUCCAUCAUAUUGGAUAAGAUAACAGGGACUAAGACAAGUCAUCAUGGCCUGAAUAUUGUGGGCUAUA
rnacentral:rRNA from 1 species